AAUGCAAAGGGAAAGGGCCUGCUACCAAAAUAAACCAUUUUAGGCGCAAAGCUCCCCCUUGACACGGUAUCAUUUCAUUAGCAGGUCAUUUAAGACCUUCCAUUUCCUAAAUCUAUAUUCUAAACACAGCCCCCACUUCACCAAACUUCUCAGCCCUAGAAAUCAAUUUGUUUGGGCAUAUUCCAGCAGCCACUGAGUACACCACUUCAUCAGGUGAUCGAUGGCAUUCCAGCGACGAUCGAUGAUGCCUUUGGACCCUUCCAACUUUGAUUUUCAGCGAAGAGGGCAGAGAUCCAUGGCUGAUUUGCAAGAUUUGGCCGUACGGAGGAGGCGUGUGAAGGAGGCUGCGCGAGGAGCCACUCGUGGGAGUCCCAAUUUCUGGCCUAUUCUGGCACGUUCCAGAAGCUCCUAGUGCUGCUGAGAUAAUUUUGGAUGUAUUGGUCCUCGGGUUUUAGGGCUUAUUGGGUCAUGGGUUUUAAAAUUAUUGGAGUUUAUGUAAUUGGGUUAAGGGUUUUUUUUGGGUAUUUGUUUAAUUGGAUUAAAAAUGUAUUUGGGCUGUUUUAAUUUAGUUUAUUUUGUGUUUAUUGUUUUUUUGAUUUUUUGGUAUAAGCCCGGACAAAAAUUGGGCCUUACAGAUUUAUCCGCAUUAUUGUUUAGCAGUAAAUCUGCGCCUCGGAGUAUUGUUGGAGUACUAGAGACUUACCGUAAUUUACUGACAACUUGUCUGGAAA